AGCAGCCGCGGUAAUUCCAGCUCCAAUAGCGUAUAUUAAAGUUGUUGCAGUUAAAAAGCUCGUAGUUGAAUUUCGGGGUCAGCAGGUUGGUCGUGCCUCUGGUAUGUACUGGCCUUGCUGAUUCCUCCCUCUUGAUGAGCCGUAAUGCCAUUAAUUUGGUGUUGCGGGGAAUCAGGACUGUUACUUUGAAAAAAUUAGAGUGUUUAAAGCAGGCAAGCGCUUGAAUACAUUAGCAUGGAAUAAUGAAAUAGGACGUUCGAUCCUAUUUUGUUGGUUUCUAGGAUUGACGUAAUGAUUAAUAGGGAUAGUUGGGGGCAUUAGUAUUCAAUUGUCAGAGGUGAAAUUCUUGGAUUUAUUGAAGACUAACUACUGCGAAAGCAUUUGCCAAGGAUGUUUUCAUUAAUCAAGAACGAAAGUUAGGGGAUCGAAGACGAUCAGAUACCGUCGUAGUCUUAACCAUAAACUAUGCCGACUAGGGAUCGGAUGAUGUUAAUUUUUUAAUGACUCU
rnacentral:rRNA from 1 species